UAUAUAUAUAUAUUAGUGUCAGACUCUUGGGGAAAAAAAAGGCUUUUUUGGAUGUUUAAGGAUUAUACCUGGAACCAUUCCUGGAAGGGAAUCCUUGUUAACCUUUAAGGCUACAAAAACUGAAAAAUGCAUCAUCGUGCUAAAUACAACCUUCUUCCUCCCAGCACACAUGGAACUGUGCUGUUCUAGGAAAAUAAUCAACAGUGGGGUGGUGUGAUACAGCCUGACCCAAACUAAUGCAACUCUUACCACCACGAAGCUGAUUAUUUUCCAAUAACAGCACAUCCCAAAGUGUUUUAUUUAUCUUGUACCACAGCAGUUUGCCAACUCUAACAUUCUUUUUUAUUUAAAGAAAGACACAACGUACUUUUUAUCCAUUUAUAGUUACGUUUGAUGUUGUGGAACAUCCAUGAAACCAUGAAGUACCUGUUUAUCGCUUACUUUGUAAGUUUGAGAUGUCAGUCAUGUUCAUUACCGUUUCAGUGAUUGGCACUUGGCAGGCAGGAAGCCCCUCUGAGAGAGAUCUUCCAGUCAUCAUACGGAGAAGCCGUGCAAAACUAUCCAAAAACCUAAAGACAUUCCUGCUAUGAAUCUUUUGACACACAUCUCAUCAAGUGAAGGUACAUGCCAUUGAUGAGGUAAUCAGAUUCCUCGGUGGUGAGCGGCAGAGCUUUCUUCCUCCUGUGACGUCGAACCCGCAGCCUGCAGCCCACCAUCAGCAAGAGCACAGCGCUAAUAAUCAC